rnacentral:rRNA from 1 species
UACGUAGGGGGCGAGCGUUGUCCGGAAUUAUUGGGCGUAAAGCGCUCGUAGGCGGUGUGUCACGUCGGCCGUGAAAACCUGCAGCUUAACUGUGGGCGUGCGGUCGAUACGGGCAUCACUGGAGUUCGGCAGGGGAGACUGGAAUUCCUGGUGUAGCGGUGAAAUGCGCAGAUAUCAGGAGGAACACCGGUGGCGAAGGCGGGUCUCUGGGCCGAUACUGACGCUGAGGAGCGAAAGCGUGGGGAGCAAACAGG